rnacentral:rRNA from 1 species
UACGUAGGGGGCAAGCGUUGUCCGGAUUUAUUGGGCGUAAAGAGCGUGUAGGCGGCUUUACAGGUCCGUUGUGAAAACUCGAGGCUCAACCUCGAGACGCCGGUGGAAACCGUAAGGCUAGAGUCCGGAAGAGGAGAGUGGAAUUCCUGGUGUAGCGGUGAAAUGCGCAGAUAUCAGGAGGAACACCCGUGGCGAAAGCGGCUCUCUGGGACGUUACUGACGACUGAGGCGCGAAAGCGUGGGGAGCGAACAGG